ensembl:lncRNA
CUUUGAUCGUGCAGCACGUGACCUCCACUCGAGUCCUUAAAUAGGGGUGAAACAGCGGGCUUUAUACUUGAAUCUUGCAUUUUGCAUUUUAGUUGUCGUACGUUAAAUGUACAGACCGCGAUCUUCCCUUUCUGAAAGCUCAGAGAAAACGGAUUUCCAAAGUAAUUGUAGCGAAACUAAGUCAUUGACAAUGUCUGUAUUCAGUUUUAGAACCCCUAUCCACAUUAAUUCAGAGGCUAUUUUACCUGCUAUCAGCGAGCGUUUCGAUAGGCUCUCUGGAUUACAGUGGGGCAUAAUAGAAAAUGGGAUCUGGGACUCCGAUGUCCAAGUAGCAUUGGCUGAUAUGAUUACCGAUGUCAUACAGUCAGUUAGUGCAAGCAUCAUAAAAACUUUGCUUCUAGGAGGUCAGGACCAAUUAAAUGAUGCAUCCCAGACAAGCCUUAGCAUAGCCGUGACAAAAAUAAGACCCAUAUUGGGAAACUCUCUCUCCACCAGCUUUGCUGCCGCUCUUAAUGUCACUCAUGAGGAGUGUGAGAGCGCUGUGGCGCUGACACAGAUGGUUGAGGAGGAGAUCUCAAAUAAAGUCAACUCGGGUUGGGUUCUAGUCCCAGAAAACCCUGAUUCUAUUUAUGUCACCAGAAAAAUAACAAACAUAAAAAAACUUAGAUGCAUGGUUUCUCAUGCUUUCUCAUGUCUGAAGAAUUAUAAAGGUAAGCUGAGCUACCUGUGCAUGAGGGGGGCUUUACCCAGUUCCUUUAGUUCAAGCCACGAGAGCCUUGAAAACAAGCUCUCUGAGAUGGGAACAAUUAAAGAAAUAAGUAUGGCUCUCAUGAGGUGGAGUACAGACAGAGCGAUAAGUAAAGAUGAUGAGGACUGUCACAGAGAACUGCAACCCGUGGAGGAAAAAGAAAGUGAUGAGUUUGCAGAAGCUGAGGAGAAAGCUCAAAUUUCUGUUCCUGUCCGAGGUUUGCAGUGGAGAGCUCAGACCACACAGGACCCCGUCCUCUCCAAACCCUGCUCAGCUCUCUGGGGGCAGUGUCCAGCUCUCUCACCUGUCUGCAGACGGCGGAGGGAGUGGCAGCUCUGCUGAUGGAGAGAGGCGGUCUGGAGGAAGGAGAUAAUGUCGCUCUGGUGUACCUGCCAGGUAUAGACCUGAUCGCAGCCCUUUACGGCUGCCUGUACGCCGGCUGAGUUCCCAUCACAGUGCGACCGCCUCACCCUCAGAACAUCUCCACCACCCUGCCCACUGUUAAGAUGAUUGUCGAGGUGAGUCACUCGGCGUGUGUGAUGAUGACCAC